UACAGAGGUCUCAAGCGUUGUUCGGAUUCAUUGGGCGUAAAGGGUGCGUAGGCGGCGCGGUAAGUCGGGUGUGAAAUCUCGGAGCUUAACUCCGAAACUGCAUUCGAUACUGCCGUGCUUGAGGACUGGAGAGGAGACUGGAAUUUACGGUGUAGCGGUGAAAUGCGUAGAUAUCGUAAGGAAGACCAGUGGCGAAGGCGGGGUCUCUGGACA
rnacentral:rRNA from 1 species